rnacentral:rRNA from 1 species
CCUANGGGAGGCUGCAGUGAGGAAUUUUGCGCAAUGGGGGCAACCCUGACGCAGCAACGCCGCGUGGAGGAUGAAGGUCUUCGGAUUGUAAACUCCUUUUAUCCCUGAAAAAACCCCUAUUGAAGAAAUAGGAUUGAUUGUAAGGGAUGAAUAAGCCACGGCUAACUUCGUGCCAGCAGCCGCGGUAAGACGAAGGUGGCAAGCGUUACUCGGAAUUACUAGGCGUAAAGCGUGGGUAGGCGGCCUGAUAAGUCUGUUGUGAAAGCUCCUGGCUUAACCGGGAGAGGCCAAUGGAUACUGUCGGGCUUGAAUGUGGGAGAGGAUGCUGGAAUUCCCGGUGUAGCGGUGAAAUGCGUAGAGAUCGGGAGGAAGGCCGGUGGCGAAGGCGGCGCUCUGGAACGUUUCUGACGCUGAGGCUCGAAAGCGUGGGGAGCAAACAGGAUUAGAUACCCUANUANUC